GUCCGGGAAAGGCACGGAAGGUGCGGCGGCGGCGGCUUCAUCCUCUUUCUUGUAUCGUUGUAUCGAGUGCAACCGGGAGGCCCGGGAACUGUACCGGGACUACAACCACGGAGUGCUCAAGAUAACCAUCUGCGUGAGCGCGCCGGGGGGCGGGGCGGGGCGGGGCGCGUCUAGGAAGGCGGAUCGGAACGUGCUGUGGUCCGGGGCGAGGGCCUGGGAGCUUGAGCACGUGGGGGAGGAGUGGUCCAUAUAUUGGUGUGAAAGAGAAAGCAAGGAUGUUCUUGAAGACUGCCUAGGCCAUGAAUGUUAUAAGACUUACGGCAU
rnacentral:lncRNA from 1 species